rnacentral:rRNA from 1 species
UACGGAGGGAGCUAGCGUUGUUCGGAAUUACUGGGCGUAAAGCGCGCGUAGGCGGCUUUGUAAGUUAGAGGUGAAAGCCCGGAGCUCAACUCCGGAAUUGCCUUUAAGACUGCAUCGCUUGAAUCCGGGAGAGGUGAGUGGAAUUCCGAGUGUAGAGGUGAAAUUCGUAGAUAUUCGGAAGAACACCAGUGGCGAAGGCGGCUCACUGGACCGGGUAUUGACGCUGAGGUGCGAAAGCGUGGGGAGCAAACAGG